UUUAUUAUUAGAUUUGUUUAUUAAAAGUAUUUUAUUUAAAUUAUUAUAAAUUUUAUUAUUUAUAAAGAAAAAAUUUAUUUUAUUAUAUUGAAUUAUUUUUGUGAAUUAAUUAAUUAAUUUCGAAAGAAGAAAAAUUUAUUUUUUGUACCUUGGGUAUCAGGGUUAAUUAAAUUAAUAAAUAAAUAUUUUUUUCCCGAAUCAAAAAGUGCUAUAGUUUUUUUAUAUUAUUGUUGAAUAAAUAUAUAAAAUAGAAUUAUUGUAAUUAGAUGUUAUUCGUUUUUUGAUAUAUCUGGUUUUCUAAGAAAUAUAUUUAAUUUAUUUAUUUAUUAAUAAUUUUUUUUAUUAUUAAAAAAUUAUUAUGAGUAAAUAAUUUUUUAUGGGAUAAGCUAUUUUAAAAAUAUAUUAUUAUAUUAAGAUCUUUUUUUUUUCUUUAUGAAUAAAAUUUUUUAUGAUAAUUGUAUUUUAUAAUUAAUAAAAUUUUUAAUUUGAUUUUAAUUUUUAUAAUUUUUUUAUUGGAUUUAAUUCUGUAAUUUUUUUUAUUUUAAAAUAAUGAUUAAAUUAGUAGAGUGUUUUGUAUUUUUCUAAUUUAUAUUUUAGAUAUUUAUAAGGAAUUCGGCAAAUAUUUUUCCACCUGUUUAAUAAAAACAUGGCUUUUUGAUUUUAAUUUUAAGUCUAUCCUGCCCAGUGAUGAUAAUUUAACGGCCGCAGUAAUUUGACUGUGCUAAGGUAGCAUAAUCAUUAGUUUUUUAAUUGGAAACUGGAAUGAAAGGUUUUAUGAGAAAAAGUCUGUCUUAUAAUUAAUUUUUGAAUUUUACUUUUAUGUAAAAAGGCUUAAAUUUUAUUAAAAGACGAGAAGACCCUUUAGAGUUUUAUAUUUUUAUAUAAAUAUUAAUUUUAGGAUAUAUAAGAAUUUGUUUAUAAAUAUUUGGUUGGGGUGAUUAUUAAAUAAAUUGAACUUUAAUUUUAUAUUACGUUUAUAAAUGAUUAUUUGAUCCAUAUUUUAUGAUUAUUAGAUAAAAUUACCUAAGGGAUAACAGCGUAAUUUUUUUAGAGAGUUCAAAUCGAUAAAAUAGAUUGCGACCUCGAUGUUGGAUUAAAAUAUAAAAUUGGUGUAGAAGCUAAUUGAUUUGGUCUGUUCGACCAUUAAAAUUUUACAUGAUCUGAGUUUAGACCGGCGUGAGCCAGGUUGGUUUCUAUCUUUAAUUAUUUUAAGUGUUUUAGUACGAAAGGACCAAAUAUUUUUAAUAUUUAAUUUUUAAGG
rnacentral:rRNA from 1 species